AUUGAACGUUGGCGGCAGGCCUAAUACAUGCAAGUCGAACGGCAGCACAGAGAGCUUGCUCUUGGGUGGCGAGUGGCGGACGGGUGAGUAACGCGUAGGAAUCUACCCAGUAGCGGGGGAUAGCCCGGGGAAACCCGGAUUAAUACCGCAUACGCCCCACGGGGGAAAGGCCGGGAUCUUCGGACCGGUCACUAUUGGAGGAGCCUGCGUUGGAUUAGCUUGUUGGUGGGGUAAAGGCCUACCAAGGCUGCGAUCCAUAGCUGGUCUGAGAGGACGAUCAGCCACACUGGAACUGAGACACGGUCCAGACUCCUACGGGAGGCAGCAGUAGGGAAUAUUGGACAAUGGGGGCAACCCUGAUCCAGCCAUGCCGCGUGUGUGAAGAAGGCC
rnacentral:rRNA from 1 species